GAUGCAGCCAUGCCGCGUGUGUGAAGAAGGCCUUCGGGUUGUAAAGCACUUUCAGCGAGGAGGAAAGGUUAGUAGUUAAUAACUGCUAGCUGUGACGUUACUCGCAGAAGAAGCACCGGCUAACUUCGUGCCAGCAGCCGCGGUAAUACGAGGGGUGCAAGCGUUAAUCGGAAUUACUGGGCGUAAAGCGUGCGUAGGUGGUUUGUUAAGCAAGAUGUGAAAGCCCUGGGCUCAACCUGGGAACUGCAUUUUGAACUGGCAAGCUAGAGUUUUGUAGAGGGUAGUGGAAUUUCCAGUGUAGCGGUGAAAUGCGUAGAGAUUGGAAGGAACAUCAGUGGCGAAGGCGGCUACCUGGACAAAGACUGACACUGAGGCACGAAAGCGUGGGGAGCAAACAGGAUUAGAUACCCUGGUAGUCCACGCCGUAAACGAUGUCAACUAGCCGUCUGUGGUCUUGAACCGUGGGUGGCGUAGCUAACGCGCUAAGUUGACCGCCUGGGGAGUACGGCCGCAAGGUUAAAACUCAAAUGAAUUGACGGGGGCCCGCACAAGCGGUGGAGCAUGUGGUUUAAUUCGAUGCAACGCGAAGAACCUUACCAUCCCUUGACAUCCAGAGAAGCGACUAGAGAUAGACGUGUGCCUUCGGGAACUCUGUGACAGGUGCUGCAUGGCUGUCGUCAGCUCGUGUUGUGAAAUGUUGGGUUAAGUCC
rnacentral:rRNA from 1 species